GACAUGUACGGAAUCCUUUAGAGAUAGAGGAGUGCUCGAAAGAGAGCCGUAACACAGGUGCUGCAUGGCUGUCGUCAGCUCGUGUCGUGAGAUGUUGGGUUAAGUCCCGCAACGAGCGCAACCCUUGUCAUUAGUUGCUACAUUCAGUUGGGCACUCUAAUGAGACUGCCGGUGACAAACCGGAGGAAGGUGGGGAUGACGUCAAGUCCUCAUGGCCCUUAUAGGUGGGGCUACACACGUCAUACAAUGGAUGGUACAAAGGGUCGCCAACCCGCGAGGGGGAGCCAAUCCCAUAAAGCCAUUCGUAGUCCGGAUCGCAGUCUGCAACUCGACUGCGUGAAGUCGGAAUCGCUAGUAAUCGUGGAUCAGAAUGUCGCGGUGAAUACGUUCCCGGGUCUU
rnacentral:rRNA from 1 species